GGUAUUGUAAUAAGAUUUUAAUUGAAUGCUAAGAGAAUGGAAUUACAGGGAAUAACUAUUUAAAACUUAAAAAUUAAAAUUAUUUUAAUUUGUGAAGAAACAAUUAUUAAAAUUAAGGACAAGAAGACCCUAUGAAUUUUAAAAUAAUUAAUUUCUUAUAAGAAAUUAAUUAUUUUUAGUUGGGGCAACUAGAAAAUAUUAUAAACUUUUUAUAUAAUAAAAUGACCCAUUAUUAAUGAUUAUUUGAGAAAAAUACUCUAGGGAUAACAGCGUAAUAAUUUUUGAUAGAACCUAUAGACAAAAUAGUUUGCGACCUCGAUGUUGGAUUAGGAUAC
rnacentral:rRNA from 1 species